rnacentral:rRNA from 1 species
UACGUAGGUGGCAAGCGUUGUCCGGAAUUAUUGGGCGUAAAGCGCGCGCAGGCGGCUUCCCAAGUCCCUCUUAAAAGUGCGGGGCUUAACCCCGUGAUGGGAAGGAAACUGGGAAGCUGGAGUAUCGGAGAGGAAAGUGGAAUUCCUAGUGUAGCGGUGAAAUGCGUAGAGAUUAGGAAGAACACCGGUGGCGAAGGCGACUUUCUGGACGAAAACUGACGCUGAGGCGCGAAAGCGUGGGGAGCAAACAGGAUUAGAUACCCUGGUAGUCCACGCCGUAAACGAUGGAUACUAGGUGUAGGAGGUAUCGACCCCUCCUGUGCCGGAGUUAACGCAAUAAGUAUCCCGCCUGGGAAGUACGAUCGCAAGAUUAAA